ACACAUUCCAGCCAAUCAGCAGCAGACCCUCCCUCCCAGACCCUCCCACCUCCUGGACAGCAUCCAUUUUACAUUCAUUGUGAAGCUGCAUUCUUAGUGAGCUGUCCAGGAGGUGGGAGGGUUUUGGAGGGAGGGUCUGCUGCUGAUUGGCUGGAAUGUGUCU